GAUGAACGCUGGCGUCGUGCCUAAUACAUGCAAGUCGAGCGAACAGACGAGGAGCUUGCUCCUCUGACGUUAGCGGCGGACGGGUGAGUAACACGUGGAUAACCUACCUAUAAGACUGGGAUAACUUCGGGAAACCGGAGCUAAUACCGGAUAAUAUAUUGAACCGCAUGGUUCAAUAGUGAAAGACGGUUUUGCUGUCACUUAUAGAUGGAUCCGCGCCGCAUUAGCUAGUUGGUAAGGUAACGGCUUACCAAGGCAACGAUGCGUAGCCGACCUGAGAGGGUGAUCGGCCACACUGGAACUGAGACACGGUCCAGACUCCUACGAGAGGCAGCAGUAGGGAAUCUUCCGCAAUGGGCGAAAGCCUGACGGAGCAACGCCGCGUGAGUGAUGAAGGUCUUCGGAUCGUAAAACUCUGUUAUUAGGGAAGAACAAAUGUGUAAGUAACUAUGCACGUCUUGACGGUACCUAAUCAGAAAGCCACGGCUAACUACGUG
rnacentral:rRNA from 1 species